GACGAACGCUGGCGGCGUGCUUAACACAUGCAAGUCGAACGGAAAGGCCCUGCUUUUGUGGGGUGCUCGAGUGGCGAACGGGUGAGUAACACGUGAGUAACCUGCCCUUGACUUUGGGAUAACUUCAGGAAACUGGGGCUAAUACCGGAUAGGAGCUCCUGCUGCAUGGUGGGGGUUGGAAAGUUUCGGCGGUUGGGGAUGGACUAGCGGCUUAUCAGCUUGUUGGUGGGGUAGUGGCUUACCAAGGCUUUGACGGGUAGCCGGCCUGAGAGGGUGACCGGCCACAUUGGUACUGAGAUACGGCCCAGACUCCUACGGGAGGCAGCAGUGGGGAAUAUUGCACAAUGGGCGGAAGCCUGAUGCAGCAACGCCGCGUGCGGGAUGACGGCCUUCGGGUUGUAAACCGCUUUCGCCUGUGACGAAGCGUGAGUGACGGUAAUGGGUAAAGAAGCACCGGCUAACUACGUG
rnacentral:rRNA from 1 species